GCCACACCUGCGCAAGCGUCUCAUAGCGACGGGUGGAGACUCGCAGCACAGAGGCAAGUCUGCUGUUACUCACGCAUCAACAUGAGAAUUACCAUGAUGAGCUCAACGUUACUGGCGAUGGCAGUGGCGGUGAUGUUCGUGCCAGCUAAUGGCAAAGGCUUUGGUCACCUUCACCAUCACCACCAGCACCACCAGUAAGUGUGUGUGUGUUUUUUUUGUCUGUUUUGAAAAAUAUCUAUAUAUUGAUUCAAAUUUUAGCACUUUUUGUGAAUUAGAUAAGUUCAGCUAUCGAAUCAUAUUUUCCUAGGAAAAAAUACAUCUGAUUAUUUCAUUAAGUGGCAUAGUUAACGCUUUUAAAAAAAUGGGCAUGUGCUUGUCCAGACGGAAACACAGUAGGUCGAAUGAGGCAACAAAGUGUACAGUAAAUGCUUAUCAAUGCUUCUGUUGCAAGGUUGUGGAGUAUUUAGUACAUGAUUUCAUAAUUUAUAUUAUGUCUUUACAUGUAUCUAUUUGCAAUUUCCAAUUUAGAUUCUAAUCUAUUCUAACCCCAAGAAAUUUUGUAAGACUUGCUUGGCUGAGUGUCUUGUCCUCUAGCUGCAAUAAAGGCAUAUAUUUUUUAAGUUGUCUUUUGAAAACAAACUAUGCGUAGUUUGGUUUCAGGAACAUUAAAUUUUAUUCCAUUACAUUUUAUCUACUGAUGGACUGAAUUGAGUUCUACAUUUAUGUUAAGCGGAGGGAAUUAAUGUAAUUAUCUGUAAUGGAUUCGUAUCAUCGGCAUUUAUAAUAAAUUUUAUCUCCAGCAUUGAUUAUGCCAUUUAUAUACAGUAUAGCACCAAGGGAAAGAACUGGUCAAAAUUUAUCUCAGAGGCACACGUCUAGAUAUACAGAGAAAUCAAUUGUGAACAUGCAUUGUUAACAAAAACAGAUAGAAGUUACACAGGUAAGUACGGAAACGCUGCUAUGGCAAAUCCCUCAUCCCCAAUUGUUCUAGUUUGUGUAGCAGAAUUUUACGAUUUAAUGAGUCAAACGCUUUUGGUAAAUGAAUGUACAGGCCUCCUACAUAUAACCUAUCCUCUAUGAAUUUAUAAACACUAUUAACAAAAUGUAAGGCAGCAAUUUCUAUUGAACGAUUAGAUCGAAAGCCAUGUUGUUAUAGCAGAUUGUUUUCCUCAAGAUAAUCCAUUAAGCUUACAACUAUAUAUAUUUCUUAAAAAAUUGUUUUGGUGAAAGCAGGUAGGAUCGAAAUAAAUCUUUACUUACUGAUGUCACAUCUGUUACUUCUUUUGAAUAUAGAAAGGUCUUCAGCGUUUUUUGGUGGUCAGGCAAAAUUACUUGCUUUAAAGAAAGAUUAAUUGUUUUUGUAUGUCAAUGGUGGGAGGCCAGAGAUUAACAAAAAAAUAUUCGAACA